CUUUAAGUAUUCAGUAGAAUAUACUUAUGAAUCAAUUUGACCCUGUUUUUUUUCCCUCUUAGGAAAUUCAUUGAGUGCUUGUUCAAUAUCUUUCUCUGAGGAAAGACUGUGAAAAACUGGAGAAUAUUCAGAGAAGAGAAACUAAGUGGAAGAAGAACAGGAGGUCCAUUCAAUGUUCUGGAAGAUUUCUUUGCUUUUUUCUGCCUUCAUGAGGAUAACAUUAAAGCAACUGGAUUUUCUGCAUCUCAUCCCCUGCCCUCACUAACUGACCAAGGCAUAGUCCUUAAAAAUCAAACAUUUCUUAGAUCAUCUUUUUUUUUAUUUCUGUUCUUCUUCUAAGUCCCUUACUCAUUACAUAUUGAAGCACACACCUCAUACCCAAUGUAUACCUGUCAUUAACCCUUCAUAGACACUCAUGCUUCAUAUUCCUCAGCUAUAAAACAAUAGACAAGGCAUUGAUAUAAAUAUAUAUA
rnacentral:lncRNA from 1 species